rnacentral:hammerhead_ribozyme from 1 species
AUCCAUCUGACCAGUCUCAAAUAAGACGAAACGCGCGUCCUGAAU